rnacentral:lncRNA from 1 species
AUGAACUUUGUAUUAUUAAUCAGCACUGUUAUCCUAGGGGUCCAGGGGAACCCAACRCUUUUGCCAAAGCUCAGUAAUGAUCCUGGUAAUAUUUGGGUAACCAUCGCAAAUGUAACCAAACAACCAGCCUUUUGCCUAAGCUUAAGUAGUGUAAGAAGCCCCUUUCGCACCUGUUUGAUCGGAGUGCCGGUAUGGAAUAUAAACGAAUUUAAAGGAUACCUGAAAAUAGYAUAUGACAAUUAUACCCACGUCAAUCRGACAUGUGGGCAACAGGGUACUGGAGUAAAUACAAACCAAAAACUGUCUGAUGGCAGUGUACAAUGUUGCCUUAUAUCAGCCUUAAACGAAAGUUUAACAUCUCCCCCAGAAGAGCUAGACCUGUUUGGAAKUGUGAACGCUAGUAAUGCUACUWUUGGCGGUGGCUGGUUGUCCUUCCUCCCGGGCAACAGCAGUUUAAUAAAUACACCUAGUAGUAAGUGGGCCAAUUUGAAUUCAGUUUUAAACCCCUCAGAAAUAUUUGAAGAUUUAUAUAGUAGCUGUGAUGGGAGCAAUAUAACGACGCCUAAAGCCCUCCCACCAGGAAUCUUUCUGAUUUGUGGGGAUCGUGCCUGGAAUGGCAUUCCAGCUUCUCCUCAAGGUGGACCUUGUUAUUUAGGUAAAUUGUCACUUUUUCAUCCUAAUAUUUCCCUCCUCAUGCGUUGGGCAAAUAAAAUCGAGAAGACUAGACAAGAAAGAUCUGUGCAUGAGUUAAAGUGUGAAGAAGUUGGUGACCCUCAAUUUUGGUCUAAAACUAAAAAUUUUUUGUCAUCCCUUUUUAUCCCCGGGCUGGCAGCAGCGAAGUCACUAGCGCUUGCCAAACAAAUAGCAUGCUGGACGAGAAAUGAAUUAAAUAUAACUUCAGCUAUUCUGGAUAUGUUAUCGCAGGAUGUACAGAGUGUGAAUCACGCGGUACUACAGAAUCGAGCAGCUAUAGACUUCCUGUUAUUAGCCCAGGGACAUGGGUGUGAUGAGUUUGAAGGUAUGUGUUGUAUGAAUCUUUCUGAUCAUUCUGAAUCGAUUCACUCAAGAAUUGAACAGAUGCGAAAGGGUUUGCACGCAUUAACAGAAGACACAGGAAUAAAGGGGUGGCUGAGGGGCCUGGGAAUCGGAGGAUAG